rnacentral:rRNA from 1 species
AUUGAACGCUGGCGGCAUGCCUUACACAUGCAAGUCGAGCGGCAGCGCGGGGGCAACCCUGGCGGCGAGCGGCGAACGGGUGAGUAAUGCAUCGGAACGUGUCCUCUUGUGGGGGAUAACCAGUCGAAAGACUGGCUAAUACCGCAUGAGAUCGCAAGAUGAAAGCAGGGGACCCGCAAGGGCCUUGCGCGAGAGGAGCGGCCGAUGCCUGAUUAGCUAGUUGGUGGGGUAAAAGCCUACCAAGGCGACGAUCAGCAGCUGGUCUGAGAGGACGACCAGCCACACCGGGACUGAGACACGGCCCAGACUCCUACGGGAGGCAGCAGUGGGGAAUUUUGGACAAUGGGGGCAACCCUGAUCCAGCCAUGCCGCGUGUGCGAAGAAGGCCUUCGGGUUGUAAAGCACUUUCGGCCGGAACGAAAUCGUCACCGUUAAUAGCGGUGAUGGAUGACGGUACCGGAAGAAGAAGCACCGGCUAACUACGUGCCAGCAGCCGCGGUAA